rnacentral:tRNA from 1 species
AUCUUUCUAGUAUUAAAUUAGUACCAGUGAUUUCCAAUCACCCAGUCUUGGUUAGAAUCCAAGGAUAGAUA